rnacentral:rRNA from 1 species
GACAGAGGGUGCAAGCGUUGUCCGGAGUUACUGGGCGUAAAGCGCACGCAGGCGGUCACGCAAGUGGGGUGUGAAAGCCGGCAGCUUAACUGCCGGUCGCCAUCUCAGACUGCGCGACUCGAGUGGUGCAGAGGCUGUUCGAAUUGCCGGUGUAGUGGUGAAAUGCGUAGAGAUCGGCAGGAAGACCAAGGGGGAACCCAGGCAGCCGGGCACUGACUGACGCUCAGGUGCGAAAGCGUGGGGAGCGAACCGG